CAUAUCUUAAAUAGCCACAACCAUGCAUAUACAUCAUUAUUGAAAUUUGGAUGGAUAUUAAGAAACCCAAUUAUUUAGACGGAAACAAAGACUACUAUUUAAAGUAGUACAUAGAUGCAUAAUAUAUAUCUAGCAUCGUAGGCUUUUUUUCACAUAUCGAUAUUAAGCAGGAAGAGACAUCUUCAAGAAGUCUUUCUUGAAUUUCAAGCUAGAGGCUAUCUUGUAUGCGUCUUGUGCUUCAGAGACAGAGGCAAAACAGUAGCCAUAUUUGAGAUUAGAAUUUGGAAAGUGAGCACAAUAAUUCCCACUACCCUUUUUUGUGCAUUCAUCAUGAGACAUACAUAACUUAGGAUGUUCCUCAACCUUCCUGUGAAAAUUUCCACUUACCACAUUGUCAUUUUCGCAAAAGCCCACACAAACACCGUACGUACAAUCAACGGGUACGCAUUCACAAUCGUUACGACAACCUGGCAAAAAGGUACCGCAACUUUGUUGACAUCCUGCUCCUUCUACUUUUUUCAUCGGAAACAUUACUGUAAAUGACAAAGCUAAUUAAAGUUUGAACAACAUACAAAUACCAUUAUUAUAAUAGUAAUAAAAUUAGUUGAGAGUUGAUUCUGAUAAAUUUCUCAUGAUUUAUUAAACAUAAAUAGAAAUGCAUGAAUGGUAUAUAUAUUGGUGAGAAAGAUGAUUGAAAUAUAUACCGAAUGCAGCAAGCAAGAAGACAGCAAAAGAAGCAAGCUUAACAUAAGCCAUUGAUUGAUUGAUCAAAAGAAAGAACCAGCUGCUACAAUAUACUAUUGUUUGUUAAUUAUGAACUCAACUUUGUAUUGCAUUUCUUCAUUUCUUGCAUGCAUCAAUUUAUAGACAAAAUUAAUGUUUUUGCCUUAUCCAUGGAUCUUCAAAUUGUUUUAUUAAAUUCAACAGCGAGGGACACGAGGUUAAUUUAAUAAGCAUUCCCACUAAAAUACACAAGCUGAGGUUUCUAUAUGCUUAUCUAUAACUGAGGGUAAACAAACACAAACUCUGUAAUCUCAAUAAUUGUUUUCAAAGUAAUCUCAUCGGACACUAGUAUUUUUUUUGUGGUGGCCGGAGUUUGAACCGCGAAUCUUGCAUAUAUUAUGCAUUGUCCAUACUAACUGAGUCAAGCUCACGAGGAUCGGACACUAGAAUUCUGCACGUUGGAUUGUGCUUAAAUUAUGCAUUCAAUAAUUAUUUUUUAUUAGUAAUCCCAAUAAUGAAGAGACUGAUACUCAAUUGAGAUUGAGACAUGCCACUAUUCAACUCUUAAUCACUUGGUAGAAUGUAUCUUGUUUGUAUCUUAGGCCUAGCAAAGGAAUCUUUAUAAGCACUGAGGUUGGUGUUUAAUUAUUAUUUUUUGAAAGGAUGUUUAAUUAUAUAUAUUCAAUUUUUAAAUUAUUCAGCAUUUGGAACUUUAUCAACAUCCAAAGGAAUCUCGUGGAGUUGUUGUACUCGAACGAGGAGGAAAUGAAAUGACAAACAGAAGAGUUAAACAAAAUAAACACGUAUUUAGAACGAGUAAAAUUAGAAUUAUUGUAUUAAUAAUAAACAUAAAAAUUUUACACAAUUAUAUUUAGAGAAGGAUACAAGAGCCGGUUUGACAAAAACUAUAUUAUGUUUUCCAUCCAAUCUAUAUCACUUUUCUUUUUAGAUUUCUCCCGUCGCUCUUUAUUUAGUGUCUUGGAUAAGGUGUACAAAUAUCACAAUCUAAAAUGGAAAAGGGGCUUAUGUUGAAAAUUUAGGUCUUAAUAAAAACAGAUUUCAUAAAACAUGUUCAACAAUUAUGAAUCAAUAGCGGAAGCAAACAAAAUAUUGAACAUGAUUAUAAUCAGAUCUACGACAUGUUUGAUUUAUCAAGGAUAUUAAGAAUUAGGGUAUUAGGAAUACCUGGAUAAAGCUUUCAUUACAGCCCUCUAAUCGACAACAAUAACCAAAGAGAGGAGAUGAUCUGAAACACACAAUAGAGUUAGCGACGGCUGAUUUGAUUCUUCCUCAACCGGUACCUUUAUGCCUCAAGUUCUCUUCAGAUGGGCAGAAGAGAGAGUUUGCCGUGUACGGUAUAUUGGGGACCAUAGCCUCUUUUAUAUUGGAUGGCCAUUAGGGUUUCCAUUAUUCCGUUAAUGGGCCAUCCGGACAUCCACUCGUUAAGUCCAUAUCAACUAAUUAAAUAUUUAAUUAAUUAUCCAAUUAGAAAUCUAAUAUCUUUAUUACUUAAUUUGAUCACUAAUCAACUAAGGCUCACAAUUGAUAAAUAGCUAAUAUAAUUAUUGUUACGAUAUUUGCCCACAUAAUGAUAUUGGAAUAUAAUAAAUAAUAAAAUAUUCCAACAGCUUAUGCUAUAACGGAAGGGAAACAAUCAAACUUUGUUUUGUUGGAAGAAAAAUAAGUUUUGCACAUAAAAGGUGUCUGUUUAUAAGAGAAAUGUUAUCAAGUAUCCUUAUGAUACUUGAUAAAAAGUUUAAAGGAAAAAUUUUAUUUCGUGAGUUGUGUAUUUUACACAUCGACUCAUUAAAAAGUAAUUUUUUCAACAUAAAAUUUAUCGAUUAUUUCUUUUUUCUGAAUUUUUAUAACAAAGUACCAUAAUAACACUUGUUAGCAAGAUCCUGUAACUUGUGAUUUAAUUUCAUAAAAAAAAAAAAAACUGAAUGAAUUUUUUUUUUGAAAAAAAAAAGCUGAAUGAAUAUAAAUAUAAGAAUUACAAACAUACAUAUAUUGGCGUGGCAUGAUUUAAUUUCAUAUAUUGGCGUGGCAUAAUAAUAUUGUUAAUAAAAUCGAGAACAUCAAAAUAAAUUGUAGCACUAAUUGACAAAGUGGUCUUGCCUGCAAAAACAUGAGCAAUCAUAUUAACUUGUUGCCGACUAAACUUUAGCCUAUAAUUUGUAAAUGUGAAUAGAAGAGAAUCUGACAUGCUGCAAUGACGUGGCAUGAAUAUCUUAAAAUGUAAAGUAGUAUAUAGUCAUUUGAAAUUUCACCAUCUCCUACCGGUUAAUUUAAAAUAUAAUAUAAAUAAUCAAGUGGUUGAGAUGUGGCUAAUGAGCUUUAUUAAAUGAGGAAAGAUGGAACAAUUAUUAAUCAUGUUUUUUUUACCUCUCAACCAAACUAGAGUCAUAUCCUCUAGUUAUGGGAUUCUUAACAAAUCCUUCCUCAACAUUUAAUUUAUCAGCGGGUAGUUAUUAUGGAUCCUAUGGUGACCUAUACCGCAGUGGCAGCCAUUCGGUUUACAAUGACUCUGCUUGGUGGUCUGCUACAAUUGAGAUAAUGAUAGGAGAGUGAAAUAAGGAACCAUUGCAAUCUCGGAUUUGGCCACCACAAGUUGUACUUCUCAAGUUGGAGAAGAAAGAAUCAUGUUCAUUUAAUUUGAAACAUCCUAUAGGAAGUGAAUUUCAGGCUACAUAAAUGAAGGUAGCAUGGAUUUAAACCUUAUUUUAUAAUAUCAUGGUAUUCUUCUGAAAGAGUAGACUUUGUUAUGUCUGCUCUAAAGAAGACCUGUGUUGAUGCUCAAGAUGAAGCUCAACUAAAAUUUCAGAAUUGGCUCAAAGGAAUUGAUCAGGAUCUGAAGAAUGUUAAGGUUUUAAGAACCUGUGUGCAGUCUCUUCCAUGUUUAAGAGGAAGAAAUCCAACUGAUUUCAUUUCAACAGGAGUGCAUCCAAGGGAAUUGGAUUUAACCUUUCUACAGAAGAUACUCCUCAAGUCUGCUUCUACUGAACUGGAACUUUUGCAAAGGAAUGCAUAACUUGAGAGGGAGAACAAGCUAUUGAGAAAGGAAGUGUUAGAUCAGAAGCUACUCUUGCUUAAGUAUCAGAUGUCAACAGAUGCUAAGUUAGAAGAAGCAAGGGUCAGAGAAGAAAAUCUGCUGAAGAUUAAUGAAGAUUUCAGACAAGAAAUGAAUAGAAAAGCAGAAAGACAAGAAAAGAUGAUGCAACAAAUGAUGGAGAUGAUCCAAAAACAAGCCCAACCUUAGCUGCACACCUAGUUUAAGCUUGCUUAGAUUUAUUUCUUUAAGUUGUUUUUGCACUUUUCAUGUUUUUUUCUUUUUACUCUGAAUAUGUAUUAAUACUUCUGAACUUCUAUAUUUGCUCUGAUAAUCUUACAUGUCUACUACUUCUGAAGUAAUUCAUUCACCAUGAUAUUUACACUUGUUCUAUAUUGCUUCUGAAUGAAGUUAUUUACAUAAUUUCUCACUUAUUUUCUCAUCUCUUUCUUUUUGUCUUUAUUUUACACUUUUUGUUGAUGACAAAAGGAGGAGUAGAUGUAUCGUAUUUAUAGGCUCUAAGUUCCAUUAAUUUAAUUCUAAUCAAGUUAAAUUAAUAGGAUCUUCUUCUUAACUCUUAGUCUUUUUGAUGUGAGAUUAUUCUGAGUGUUAUUUCGAAUUUAAUGAUGAAUUUAAUUAACAUGGAUAUAACUCAGUGGGAGCUUACAAACCUCACCUUAAAAGUACUAUUGGACUAAGGGGGAGCUUACAAACCUCAUACCCUAAUGGUCAACGUGUUAAUUAGAUUAACAACAAUUGAACAUUUUAAAUACUAUUGUUUGUCAUCAUCAAAAAGGGGGAGAUUGUUGGAACAAAAUGUGUUUAGCAAUAAUAAUCCUUAAGAUUUUGAUUAUAACAAAGUAUUAAAAAUUGUCAAUUGGAUAUGCUAAUAUUUGUUCAAGUGUACAAGACUAUAGACAAAUAUUUGAUAUCUUAAAUUAGUCUUGAAAGAACAAAUAAAGAGCAAGUAAAUCAACAAAAAGGGUCUGAAGUGCUCCUGAAGACAAAGUGCUCAUGAAGUGAUGACGUCAUCAGAAGCAAGUUCAUCAGAAGCUGUGAAUCACCAGAAACUUCAGUUCAUCAGGAGAUGCAAUUCAAAGCUUCAAAAGCUGUUUCAAGAAUUCAAACUCGCCUAAAAUUGCAGAAGACUUGAAAAGUAUAGCAACGACUACUUUGAAAGGCAUUGGGUGCUUAUUCAACAAAAGAGCGUUGACAUAGUACGUUUGUACGAAAUGUACAACCACUAACUCCACUACUCUGUUUUUGUCUCUGCUACAAGACAAAGAUAACAGCUCUGCCUGCAACAAUGUUUACUCACAUUGGGAACGCAUUUGAAUUUAUUCCUUCAUAGGACAAUAACCAUAUCAGGCAAAGGAUCAUUGGUGAUUGAUCAAAAGCUUCAAACGACUCUAUUUUGAAUGUGCUGGCAAUUCAACGUCUCUUUCACAAGAACAAUAUUACGCAUCAGCUAAACCAAAAUUCUGUUGAAAUUGUUCUCUACUUCAAAGUCACUUAGAAUUUCUUAACAAAGCUUAUAUCUUAGGAAUUCUAGAGUCUUUAGAGUCUGUUUCUGAUUUGUAUUGUGAACACCACUGAUUGUAUAUCAAGUGUUCAACUUCAAACAAUUUUCUUUGUAAUUUUGUUUGAAUUAAGAAGUCUCUUGCAGUUGUGCUUGAGCAAUAGAAGUCUCUUAAUUGUGUUCAGGAGCAUAGAAAGUCUUUUGCAGUUGUGCUUGAGCAAUUUGAAGUCUCUUACUAAGUUUAGUGUGAGCAUUUGUAAUCAGAUAUUACAUAGUGAACUCUCCUUGGAAGUGCAAGGGGGACAUGACUGACUUCCGGUUUGUGGAAGGAACCUGUGUAAAUUGCUCGUGUCUUUCUUCUCUCUCUCUGUUUUAUCCGCUGCAUUUAGUUCUGAACAUCUCUUCAGAAGUAGAACUCUAUCUGCUUCUGAACUGCAUUUUUCAGUUAGGAGAAAAAGAAAAAAAAACUAACACAAUUCAACCCCCCUUUUUGUGUUUUUUUCUCACCUUCAAGAAUCAUGUUUUGGAAAAUUUUACCAUCUUUCUAAACAAUGUAACUCUCUUCUGCUAAGCAGUUUUGUCUACUAGGUUGCACCCUCGUAACUAUAACCUCGUUUGGGAGACCUGUCAACCGCAUCUUUACUGCUUCAAAAAAUGGGCCGAUGUCAAACUCAGCAUCCCCCAUUUUGUCGUCCUAGCUGAACGUGUCCUUAUCAUACACAUACUACAUUGCAAGGUCAUGUUUAGAAUAUUUUGUCUCAAAUUAUUUCUCAUUUUUUAAUAUUGAGAUAGUAUUAAUUAUCGGUUUUCAACAAGAUUCGUAUUUAUUUAUUUCUCAGCAAACAUACACUAAUUAGUCCUCCCACCAAAUUCAUAUUACAAUAAGGACAAUUUAAUAAAAAAAAAAAAAAGAUUUACAAAAGAAAUGAAUGAGAGUAAAUUAUUUUCUUAAGAUUGUGUAUUUUACCUUAAUUAACAGCAGAUGUGAGACAGAGGGAGUAAUAAAUUAAACUAAUCCUAACUUUCAUGAUCUUCCAUAGGCAUACAGAGUAACAAAGCUAUGCUUUAUUCCAACAAACCCCACAAUUGAUAAUGUUCAUAAUCCCCAAAAACAUAUAUUAAUUAAACAACAGGCCUAACAAAAGCAUAAGACAUGCUGAUGAAAAGCAAACCAUGCAUAUACACAUCAUUAUUGAAAUUUGUAUGGAUAUUAAGAAACCCAAUUAUUUAGUCGGAAACAAAGACUACUAAUUUAAAGUACGUAGAUGCAUACUAUCUACCAUGGUAGGCUUUUUUUGACAUAUCGAUAUUAAGCAGCAACGGACAUCUUCUAUAAGUCAUUCUUGAAUUCAGAGGUAGAGGCUAUCUUGAAUGCGUUUUCUGCUUCAGAGAUAGAGGCAAAACACCAGCCAUAUUUGAUAUCAGAAUUAGCAAAACGAGCACAAAAAUUCCCACUACCCUUCUUUGUGCAUUCAGUAUGAGUUUCGCAGUAGUUAGGAUGUUCUUCAACCUUCUUUUUAAUAGAAGAAUAUGAGACGCA
rnacentral:lncRNA from 1 species